AUGAAUACGUCAUUUGUAGAGCCAUUAUAUGCAGAUGUUGAACAACUUGAACCAGUCCCUCUACUUAGACAUUCAUAUCAACUAACUGUUCUUUAUACAGUUGCAUAUGGAGCUGUAUUCUUCACUGGUGUACUUGGAAACACGUUUGUUGUCUUAGCGGUUUGGGCUCAUAAGAAUUUAAAUAUAACCACGGAUUAUCUAAUUUUGUCUCUUGCACUUGCUGAUCUGUUUAUUUUAUGGAUUUGUCUGCCAACUACGUUGAUUAAUAGCAUUUUCACAGGUAAGGUUAUUUUUUAAAUUAUUUUUCCAGAAUAACUUUUUACUCAGUUUUCGGUGUGAAUCAAAAAUUUUGAAAUUGAGCAAAAAUCGUAUCCUUUGUAUGAAUUCUGCAGCAGUGCUCAAAAUUUCUCAAAAAAUCAAAUAUUUUUAAAAUUUUUGGCAAUUUGACAGAGAAUUUUGACAUUUUUUGAAAGUGGUUCUCAAAAGACUAUUAUAGGGAUAUUUUGGCAAAAUUUCCGUUUUUAAUGAAAACAGCUUUAUAUUUUCAGAAUGGCUUUGGGGUCAAUUUUUCUGCCGAUUGUCCACAUGGGCUAACGCAUCUACGUCAUUUGCAUCAGUUUACACCUUGGUUGCAGUGACGGCUGAUCGUUAUCUAGCUAUUUGCCAUACGUUGAAAUACAACACUAGCUGGGAUCGAGAAUAUACAAAAUAUGUUAUAUUUGCUGUUUGGCUAGUAGCUGCAAUAUUCGGAAUACCUAAUUGGUAUAACUAUGAUUUGAUAGUAUGGCAAGAAGGCAGUUAUGGUUACCGAUUAUGUACGUCACAAACGGAUCAAAAAUUAUAUUUUUUAUUUGUUAACUUAUUGCUGGCUUUCAUAGUUCCAUUUGGUUUGAUUUCGGGUCUAUACACGAGAAUAUUUAUCACUGUAUCAACACAUAGAAGUCUGGCAGUUGAUGCAAGAGCCCGAGAAGAUCGAGUAAAACUACGAGUUGCCACAAUGAUGUUAACAGUAAUAAUUGUAUUUGCUUGUUGCUGGUUACCUCUCUAUUGCAUCUUCACAUAUUUUUUCUUCUUUGCUGAUCAGCGAUCGGAUCUUUUUCAAAUUACUUCAAUGUUGAUUCGGCCAAUAUUCCAAUGGAUGUCAUUACUAUCGAGUUCUUUAAAUCCAAUAAUUUAUAUUGCAUACAGUCACAAGUACAGAAGAGCUUUCAAAAGUAUAUUACUGAUGCCAUGUAAGACAAGAUACGAAAGAGUCCGAAGCACAAUACUCCGUCGUCACUCUCGUGGCUUCAAAUCAACUGCAACAAUUUCAAUGUCUAAUUUUGGAACUGAACCAACAAAUUUAGGUGGAGCAUCUAGUUUACUUAUUGAACUAGAUGGAAAACAGGUGGAAAGAUCUACUUCUGAUUGUUAA
rnacentral:misc_RNA from 1 species